CUGCCUCUUCUAUCUACAGAUUUCUCUGUUUUGUGCUACUGGAAUUUAGAAAGAAAGCCAUUUCAAAAGUAAGUCUUGGGUCAUCAAAUGCAUCUGGUUCUUGCUCAUCAAAAGAGCAUCAUAAUCAACAAUAUCCAGACCGAGAGGAUUGAAGGCAAUGGGAAGCAACAUGGAGAGAGAUUCAGAAUGACGGUGAAGGAUGGAUGGGGGUUGGGUGUUUUGGUUCCCUUUCUUCUUAUUUCUCUUCUUUGUUCUUUUUUUCCUCUGAUCAGACUGGGGGGUUGGGUGUUUUGGUUCACUUUUUUCUUAUUUUGUGUUAAUUGGGGGAGUGGUGAGAGAGAGAAGAGGGUAAUGUUAUUUUGUGGCUUUGUAUGUAAGGUAGUAAUUUUUUUAUUGAGAAUUGUAAAUUCAAUUU